AUUAGAGACCCUGGUAGUCCACGCCGUAAACGAUGUCGACUUGGAGGUUGUACCCUUGAGGCGUGGCUUCCGGAGCUAACGCGUUAAGUCGACCGCCUGGGGAGUACGGCCGCAAGGUUAAAACUCAAAUGAAUUGACGGGGGCCCGCACAAGCGGUGGAGCAUGUGGUUUAAUUCGAUGCAACGCGAAGAACCUUACCUACUCUUGACAUCCAGAGAACUUAGCAGAGAUGCUUUGGUGCCUUCGGGAACUCUGAGACAGGUGCUGCAUGGCUGUCGUCAGCUCGUGUCGA
rnacentral:rRNA from 1 species